rnacentral:rRNA from 1 species
GCGGCAGGCCUAACACAUGCAAGUCGAACGGUAACAGGAAGAAGCUUGCUUCUUUGCUGACGAGUGGCGGACGGGUGAGUAAUGUCUGGGAAACUGCCUGAUGGAGGGGGAUAACUACUGGAAACGGUAGCUAAUACCGCAUAACGUCGCAAGACCAAAGAGGGGGACCUUCGGGCCUCUUGCCAUCGGAUGUGCCCAGAUGGGAUUAGCUAGUAGGUGGGGUAACGGCUCACCUAGGCGACGAUCCCAAGCUGGUCUGAGAGGAUGACCAGCCACACUGGAACUGAGACACGGUCCAGACUCCUACGGGAGGCAGCAGUGGGGAAUAUUGCACAAUGGGCGCAAGCCUGAUGCAGCCAUGCCGCGUGUAUGAAGAAGGCCUUCGGGUUGUAAAGUACUUUCAGCGGGGAGGAAGGGAGUAAAGUUAAUACCUUUGCUCAUUGACGUUACCCGCAGAAGAAGCACCGGCUAACUCCGUGCCAGCAGCCGCGGUAAUACGGAGGGUGCAAGCGUUAAUCGGAAUUACUGGGCGUAAAGCGCACGCAGGCGGUUUGUUAAGUCAGAUGUGAAAUCCCCGGGCUCAACCUGGGAACUGCAUCUGAUACUGGCAAGCUUGAGUCUCGUAGAGGGGGGGUAGAAUUCCAGGUGUAGCGGUGAAAUGCGUAGAGACCUGGAGGAAUACCGGUGGCGAAGGCGGCCCCCUGGACGAAGACUGACGCUCAGGUGCGAAAGCGUGGGGAGCAAACAGGAUUAGAUACCCUGGUAGUCCACGCCGUAAACGAUGUCGACUUGGAGGUUGUGCCCUUGAGGCGUGGCUUCCGGAGCUAACGCGUUAAGUCGACCGCCUGGGGAGUACGGCCGCAAGGUUAAAACUCAAAUGAAUUGACGGGGGCCCGCACAAGCGGUGGAGCAUGUGGUUUAAUUCGAUGCAACGCGAAGAACCUUACCUGGUCUUGACAUCCACGGAAGUUUUCAGAGAUGAGAAUGUGCCUUCGGGAACCGUGAGACAGGUGCUGCAUGGCUGUCGUCAGCUCGUGUUGUGAAAUGUUGGGUUAAGUCCCGCAACGAGCGCAACCCUUAUCCUUUGUUGCCAGCGGUCCGGCCGGGAACUCAAAGGAGACUGCCAGUGAUAAACUGGAGGAAGGUGGGGAUGACGUCAAGUCAUCAUGACCCUUACGACCAGGGCUACACACGUGCUACAAUGGCGCAUACAAAGAGAAGCGACCUCGCGAGAGCAAGCGGACCUCAUAAAGUGCGUCGUAGUCCGGAUUGGAGUCUGCAACUCGACUCCAUGAAGUCGGAAUCGCUAGUAAUCGUGGAUCAGAAUGCCACGGUGAAUACGUUCCCGGGCCUUGUACACACCGCCCGUCACACCAUGGGAGUGGGUUGCAAAAGAAGUAGGUAGCUUAACCUUCGGGAGGGCGCUUACCACUUUGUGAUUCAUGACUGGGGUGAAGUCGAAACAAGGUA